UACGCUGUCUAGAGUUUGAUCAUGGCUCAGGACGAACGCUGGCGGCGUGCUUAACACAUGCAAGUCGAACGGUGAAGCCCUUCGGGGUGGAUCAGUGGCGAACGGGUGAGUAACACGUGGGCGAUCUGCCCUGCACUCUGGGACAAGCCCUGGAAACGGGGUCUAAUACCGGAUAUGACCUGCUCUCGCAUGAGGGUGGGUGGAAAGCUCCGGCGGUGCAGGAUGAGCCCGCGGCCUAUCAGCUUGUUGGUGGGGUGAUGGCCUACCAAGGCGACGACGGGUAGCCGGCCUGAGAGGGCGACCGGCCACACUGGGACUGAGACACGGCCCAGACUCCUACGGGAGGCAGCAGUGGGGAAUAUUGCACAAUGGGCGAAAGCCUGAUGCAGCGACGCCGCGUGAGGGAUGACGGCCUUCGGGUUGUAAACCUCUUUCAUGCAGGGAAGAAGCGCAAGGUGACGGUACCUGCAGAAGAAGCACCAGGCUAACUACGUGCCAGCCGCCGCGGUAAU
rnacentral:rRNA from 1 species